CCUACGGGAGGCAGCAGUGGGGAAUAUUGGACAAUGGGCGAAAGCCUGAUCCAGCCAUGCCGCGUGUGUGAAGAAGGCCUUCGGGUUGUAAAGCACUUUCAGUGGGGAAGAAAGCCUUGGGGCUAAUACCCUCGAGGAAGGACAUCACCCACAGAAGAAGCACCGGCUAACUCCGUGCCAGCAGCCGCGGUAAUACGGAGGGUGCGAGCGUUAAUCGGAAUUACUGGGCGUAAAGCGCGCGUAGGCGGUCUGAUAAGCCGGUUGUGAAAGCCCCGGGCUCAACCUGGGAACGGCAUCCGGAACUGUCAGGCUAGAGUGCAGGAGAGGAAGGUAGAAUUCCCGGUGUAACGGUGAAAUGCGUAGAGAUCGGGAGGAAUACCAGUGGCGAAGGCGGCCUUCUGGAAUGACACUGACGCUGAGGUGCGAAAGCGUGGGUAGCAAACAGGAUUAAUACCCUGUAGUC
rnacentral:rRNA from 1 species